rnacentral:rRNA from 1 species
AGUGGAAUUCCAUGUGUAGCGGUGAAAUGCGUAGAUAUAUGGAGGAACACCAGUGGCGAAGGCGACUCUCUGGUCUGUAACUGACGCUGAGGCUCGAAAGCGUGGGUAGCAAACAGGAUUAGAUACCCUGGUAGUCCACGCCGUAAACGAUGAGUGCUAAGUGUUGGAGGGUUUCCGCCCUUCAGUGCUGCAGUUAACGCAUUAAGCACUCCGCCUGGGGAGUACGACCGCAAGGUUGA